GCAUUGAGGAGACAGAACAUGAAGAGCAACAGAGGAGUUUAGACGCAGAAUGAUGAGGAGUGAAUAAGGAGGGGAAAAAGGGAGAGAAGAGUAUGGGAAAAAAAGUCUAGUAGAGGAGAGGAAGACAGCAGACAGGAGAAGUUAGAAAAGAUAGAAGAGAGAAGGGAGGGAAGGGGCAUCAAGGAAAGGUUUCCAAAGGUAAAAAAAAAAAAAAAAAAAAAAAAAAGAGAGAUGAAGAAGAUGGGAGUUCAACAGAAGAACUGAA
rnacentral:lncRNA from 1 species